GUAGGGUACGGUGACAUGUCACCCAAGACACUUUCGGGUCAGAUUAUCGGCAGUCUGUGCGCCAUUUGCGGGGUAUUGAUUAUCGGCCUUCCUGUGUCGGUUAUCGGGAAUAAC
rfam:Nematostella vectensis strain CH2 x CH6 NEMVEscaffold_9_Cont1901, whole genome shotgun sequence.